AACUUUCGGCAACGGAUCUCUUGGCCCUCGCAUCGAUGAAGAACGCAGCGAAAUGCGAUAAGUAAUGUGAAUUGCAGAAUUCAGUGAAUCAUCGAAUCUUUGAACGCACCUUGCGCUCCUUGGUAUUCCGAGGAGCAUGCCUGUUUGAGUGUCAUUAAAUUCUCAACCUCACCCGUUUUCUGAACGGUAACCCGAGGCUUGGAUGUGGGGGUUUGUGCAGGCUGCCUCAGUGCUGGUCUGCUCCCCUGAAAUGCAUUAGCGAGUUCAUACUGAACCUCCGUCUAUUGGUGUGAUAAUUAUCUACGCCGUGGACUGGGUUUAGACUCGCUUCUAACCGUCCGCAAGGACAAUACGUUUGACAAUUUGACCUCAAAUCAGGUAGGACUACCCGCUGAACUUAAGCAUAUCAAUAAGCGGAGGCU
rnacentral:misc_RNA from 1 species